GGCUUAGAGUUUGAUCAUGGCUCAGGACGAACGCUGGCGGCGCGCCUAACACAUGCAAGUCGAACGGAGUUAUUCCGAAUGAAGUUUUCGGAUGGAUUUUGGAAUGACUUAGUGGCGAACGGGUGAGUAACGCGUGAGUAACCUGCCCUGGAGUGGGGGACAACAGUUGGAAACGACUGCUAAUACCGCAUAAGCCCACGGCCCGGCAUCGGGCUGAGGGAAAAGGAUUUAUUCGCUUCAGGAUGGACUCGCGUCCAAUUAGCUAGUUGGUGAGGUAACGGCCCACCAAGGCGACGAUUGGUAGCCGGACUGAGAGGUUGAACGGCCACAUUGGAACUGAGACACGGCCCAGACUCCUACGGGAGGCAGCAGUGGGGGAUAUUGCACAAUGGGGGAAACCCUGAUGCAGCGACGCCGCGUGGAGGAAGAAGGUUUUCGGAUUGUAAACUCCUGUCGUUAGGGACGAAUCAUGACGGUACCUAACAAGAAAGCACCGGCUAACUACGUGCCAGCAGCCGCGGUAAAACGUAGGGUGCAAGCGUUGUCCGGAAUUACUGGGUGUAAAGGGAGCGCAGGCGGACCGGCAAGUUGGAAGUGAAAUCUAUGGGCUCAACCCAUAAAUUGCUUUCAAAACUGCUGGCCUUGAGUAGUGCAGAGGUAGGUGGAAUUCCCGGUGUAGCGGUGGAAUGCGUAGAUAUCGGGAGGAACACAGUGGCGAAAGCGACCUACUGGGCACCAACUGACGCUGAGGCUCGAAAGCAUGGGUAGCAAACAGGAUUAGAUACCCUGGUAGUCCAUGCCGUAACGAUGAUUACUAGUGUUGGAGGAUUGACCCCUUCAGUGCCGCAGUACACAUAGUAAUCCACCUG
rnacentral:rRNA from 1 species